rnacentral:rRNA from 1 species
AUUGAACGCUGGCGGCAGGCUUAACACAUGCAAGUCGAGCGGGGUGAUGGUGCUUGCACUAUCACUUAGCGGCGGACGGGUGAGUAAUGCUUAGGAAUCUGCCUAUUAGUGGGGGACAACAUCUCGAAAGGGAUGCUAAUACCGCAUACGUCCUACGGGAGAAGGCAGGGGAUCACUGGUGACCUUGCGCUAAUAGAUGAGCCUAAGUCGGAUUAGCUAGUUGGUGGGGUAAAGGCCUACCAAGGCGACGAUCUGUAGCGGGUCUGAGAGGAUGAUCCGCCACACUGGGACUGAGACACGGCCCAGACCCCUACGGGAGGCAGCAGUGGGGAAUAUUGGACAAUGGGGGGAACCCUGAUCCAGCCAUGCCGCGUGUGUGAAGAAGGCCUUAUGGUUGUAAAGCACUUCAAGCGAGGAGGAGGCUCUUUUGGUUAAUACCCAAGAUGAGUGGACGUUACUCGCAGAAUAAGCACCGGCUAACUCUGUGCCAGCCGCCGCCGUAA